GCAUAUUGAAGGCUAUUCCCAUGUCUCUAAAUCCCCAUCAGCAUCGAGGCUCACAGGCGUGUGUGGAGUGUCAGGGAGGCAGACUGUGUAACCAGACGGGCUUGUCUCAGGCUCCUCUGUGUCCCACGGGACACUACUGUCCUCCAGGGUCUCCUGUUGCUCGGCCCUGCCCCCCAGGCUCUUACUCUGACCAGCCCGGUGGUGAAGCUGCGGAGCACUGUCGGCCGUGCGAGGCCGGCUGGUUCUGCAGCCGAGUGGGUCUGUCGGAACCUCAGGCUCCCUGUGACCCUGGACAUUACUGCACCUCAGGCGCCUCCACUGCUUCUCCAGUGGCUGUGGCGUCUGGGGGCGUGUGUCCUGCCGGCUACAUCUGUCCACGGGGGACAAAGUACCCCCAGCAGCACCCCUGUCCUCUGGGAACCUUUAGCAGCGCUGUGGGAGCCCAGAACUCGUCUUCCUGCCUGUCGUGUCCCCCAGGACUCUACUGCAACAGCACUGGACUUAGUCAGGCCUCAGGAAUCUGUGACCCAGGUACUAUUGGUAGUGAUUAGAUUGAUUAUGUCACCAAACCAUAUGAAAAGUAUUGAUGUAUGCAUGAAUGCGUUCUCUUUGUAUCCUCUUUCAUGUCUGCCCACCCGCUGGAUUACAGGGUAUUACUGUUCAGGAGGGGCAGUGUCUCCAGUGCCCACGGAUGGCGUGACCGGGGACGUUUGUCCGCUCGGACACUUCUGUCCCAUGGGCUCAGCUUCUCCUCUAAUCUGCCCUGAUGGAACUUAUUCGAACACUACAGGUACGGAAAAAUAACCUUUUAGCCCGACAUGACAUCUAUCAACAUCUAAGAUGCUAUGUGACGUUUGUGGUCCCUAU
rnacentral:lncRNA from 1 species